rnacentral:misc_RNA from 1 species
AAAAUUAUAAAAAAUAUUAAAUUCAGCUAAAAUUAAAAUGAAAGUUUUAAUUAAGAAUUUUUAUUUGGAGCAAAUUGAGUGUUCAUAUGCUGUUUCCUCUAUUUUUUUUCCAUUUCAGUCAGUCAAGCCAUACACUGGCUUACCUCCAUUUUUAUACCUUUGUAACUAUUAUUAUAUAAUCCUUCCUCUCUCUCUCUCUCUCGUUAAGAUUCUCCCUCCGCUUCCUUCUUUACGUUAUUCUUCAAUUACUCAGGUUCCAUAUAUCGGAAGGUAUCGGGAUUGAGAUCUAUCAAGGAUUGUAAUAUGGCGGAAGAGCACAGAUGCCAAGCGCCUGAAGGUCACCGUCUUUGCGCCAAUAACUGUGGAUUUUUCGGGAGCCCUGCCACGAUGAACCUAUGCUCCAAAUGUUACAGAGAUUAUUGUCUCAAGGAACGACAGGAACAACAACAAGAAGCAUCUAUUAAAGCCUCUCUUUCCGUUACAUCCUCGUUUCCUCCUGUACCGGCCGUAGAUUCUCUGCCUUCUCCGGCGAUCGCCUUGCCAGAGGUACGAAGUGCUGCCACGGAGGUGACAGCUGCGGUUGAGCAGCCGAAUCGGUGUUCCACGUGCAGAAAACGCUUCGGAUUGACCGGGUUUAAGUGUCGGUGCGGGACAACGUUCUGUGCGACCCAUAGAUACCCAGAGAAGCAUGGCUGCACCUUCGAUUUCAAGAAGGUUGGAAGAGAGGAGAUCGCGAGGGCCAAUCCUCUCGUCGUAGCUGAGAAGCUGGAAAAGAUUUAAUAUGGAGCGGUGGAUGUCCUAACGCGAAAAAAACAUAAAGGAUGAUAGGCCUUGCAUCAGAUGAGUAAACCACCAUCGUCGAUCACAGCCGUUAAACACGCAGCUGAUCAGGCAAAGAUCUGUGGCUUUGGAAUUGGGAUGAUCUUUUCUCUGUCUUCCGUUUUAAUAUUAUUAUAAAAGUAUAUUCUUAAAAAAAAAGUUCUAAUUAAUUAUAUCUACGGCUUUGCGUGUGAAAAGAUUAAAAAGUAAAAAAAAAGGAUUUGAUUUUCAAAUACUCGGUGGUGUUGUAGAUUCUUGGUGUUGGGCAAGUGGUGGUUUGGGGUUUUGAAUUGCAGCCAAUCAAAGGAUGCCAUGUUUUACUUUGUAGAGCUUUCUGAGUUCUUCUUAAGGUUGAUAAAGGUGAGAUUUUUUCAAAUUGACAUUGGUAGAAUGGUAGGUUUGAAAUUGAAAACAAAUUAAAAAUUCAAAUUAAACUAAAGUUUUUUUAAAAAAUGUUAUGAAUAACUUUUAAUUUCUUUGGAUUUUAAACUUAAAUCGAUCAGAAUCAAACGGAUCCAUUGAUAGCUUCGGCUCGAUAGGAUCAUAUGGUUCUUUGCUCAGGCCUAAAUAGGGAAUUCUUCGCGAUCAGAGUUCAUUAUCAGCAGAUGGGAUUGUUGUUGCACCUCUACAAAUCCCUAGCGUGCUUUCAAAGA